rnacentral:lncRNA from 1 species
AGAGUGGAAGUGUCAAUUGUCAAAUUAUUCAUGUAUAAGCCAAGCCACUGAAGAUUUAUUAAGGCACAGAGCGUCCUCGGGAUAAACCCUGUAAAUGAGUUGUAGCUCAUGGAUAUCCUGGUGAGCUUAGAAGCAUUGGAGAGGUUGGGGAUUACUCCGCUGACGUCAGUUGCUCCUAUAUAAAGGAGUUGAAGGUUUGGAACCCCAAGGCCUAUGUUUGCUGGGAGGCUACCCGAUAGCUUAUUCAGCGUAAGCGAGAGUGCUCUUAGCUUGGAGAUAUUGAAGAUUGAGGAUGGGAUGAGGCCAUUCAGAUUAUUCUGUUCGAUUGACAAUAACUCCAAAUUUUGAAGAUCACCCAUCUCAUUCGGUAUAAUGCCUGCCACAUAUACACGAUACAAACCCUUGCAUGCUUAACUUUGUAGUCUUAGCAAUAGUCCAAUUUGUGCUUCAUGCUUUUAUUCCGACUUGGUGAACCAAAUGUUUUAUUUGAAUGACUUCGAUACAACAUUUGUUAGGCAACUCAAUAUAUUUUAUUCUGGCUAUAGUUGAAAAUCCAAUAUUCAUUAUUAACCAACUAUCAAAUUAUUUUCGUCUGAUUACAAACUACGAAAUAGUCAAAUAAUGACAUAAAUUAUAUAUGCAACAAUAAAAAAAAUGAUAAAUCAUAGUUGGAAUAACAAAAUGAAAUAUCAAUUACCUGUCAAAUUGUUGACGCCAAGAUAAAUCUCCCUUAACUGGGUUAAGUUUCCAAUUUUUCUGGGUAUGCUUCCACUGAAAUUGUUUUCCUCCAAUGUUAGAAAAAGAAGUUGUGUGCAUUGCCAUAAUUUGGAUGGAAGUGGACCAACGCCACGUAUGGGGCCUGUCGGCACGCCGGAUAACAUAUGUUAUGUGGGACCUAACAAUCACAGGGUGGUACUUAGGGUAGUGCGUAUAGCACUUCAAACUGACAUUCUCUUACUUAUCUAAACUAAUACUAAAGGUAUUCCCAUUUUAAUGAUACCAAACUAUAGUAGACUGCAACGUAAAUCAUAAAAAUAAUAUUAUUUCUAGACCAACGAUCAUUCACAUAAACAUGAAUUUCAUAAUUUUUAUUAUUAAAAUAAUAUCUAAAAGUUUCCUAUAAUAAUAAUAAACACUCAUAAAUCUCAAUUUAGUCAACACAGCUCAACAACGCUCAAGACCUAUCAUUAGGGUCAUUAUAAUUCUCCUAGGAAAGUAAAACUACCCUGGAAGACUCACGGUCAACUAAGGGUAAAACUACCCAAACUUGGUCAAACAGGCCCACGGGGCCCACGACCUCUAAAUUCUGAUCCGAAGGUUCCUAUGGCUUUUACAAGGUAUAGGACACUCGUCCUGCAAGUUUAGUCCAGAUCGGACGGUCAGAUCGCUCACGAUCGCACGAUCUGACGGUUAAUAUAAACAUAAAUUUUAAAUUAUUAAAUCGGAACAUCUGGGGCUCCGAUUUACGAUCCGUGAAUUCCUACACGAUCCUAGAAAUGCCUAGAUUAACAUAUAUUAAAUUUAAGACUAUCCAACGGUUCAAACCUAUCGAACCCGGAUAACGUACAAUAGGUGAUAUCCGUUCGAGACUCAAACGGUAUCCAAAUUAAAAUCUGAGCACACCUACACACUUGUGAGGAUUAGGAGAUCACUUUAGGACCUAGACCCGGUCCAUUUUCAUGGCCCACGCGCAGGCAGCAAGUGGGUGCCUUGAGUAAUUUUCGACGGCCGGAAAAACUUCAAACCGCCGGCCAAGCUUCCUAACCUAGUUGUAACAUCCCAUUUGGAACCACUUUUGUUCUUGGACAUACCCCGAAAAAUGGCCGAAAGUGGCCGGAAUAGCAAUCCAAAAACCGGCUGAUUUUCAAUUUGAAAAUCGACCCAUCAACCCUCAAAAUUAAUGAAAUCAUACCCAACCAUCAGCUAGAACACAUUAAAAGGAUGAGAAAGCAUACUUAGAUCGACGAAAAUGAGAAAGCACCACAAGUAACGCCAACCCAGUUGCGUUGCAGGCGGAGGUGGUGGUUGACCAGUUGACCAAGAUGUUGUGAGGGUCACUGGUGAUAUGGGAUCUCAGAGCAAGAAGAGCGGCCUGGUCCGUGGUGAUGUUGGUUUGUGUUGCAUCUGUGCCGAUAGUUAAUUCAGCCAUAUAUAGAGAACUGAACUGCAGCACCAGCAAGAACGUGAUUGACAAGAGGAAAUGACUUCUCUCCUCCAUGAGCACCGAAAACAGAGAAGUUUCCCUUCCAACUGCAAAGUGUGUUUCCUUUUUCUUUUUUUCGCAAUUGAAAAUUGAAAUCAUUGAAUAAUAGUAGUUGCAAACAGAGACAAGUUGGCAAUGAGAGUGGGGCACAUGAUUGCACCGUGAGGGAUGGAAUCCUUGUCCUAAAGGCAUCUGUUUCCGAGACGGCACGGCGUUUCCCCUAUGCAACGACGAAGACUUAGGAAGAAUUGACGAUAUGGCAUCCUCUUUCUGCACAUCUUCUUCACAAAUUAAUGUACGGGAACUUUACAACCACAGAUAAAACGCCCAUGUGUCCCAACCAAUGCUUUACGCUCUUAGGCCACCAGCUUCCAAACCCCAUUUCUAAAAGUUGAAUCCAUUUUUGGACAAAAUGAUUAUUUGAAAAAUUGGUGAAAAUCUGAAUACGAACAGACAUGUAUAUUGUAAAAAGAAAAUAAGCAUACGGCUCUGGUCCAAACAACCCUCAAAUAUAGCACUACACUUAUGGUACAAAUUGCUGAUCACCUCUAUGUAAGUCCCAUAUACAUUAGAUGGUACAAAUAGUAUUAUUAUUUCUAUAAAGACAUUAAUCAUAGCAAGUAGUAAGGUAUAUUGCAAUCACGGCUAAAACUCAUUGAGCAAGUAUCCCGACAUUAAAUUUAAGUUUAAUAAAUAUAUGGGUUUCAGAGAGAUUGGCGAAGAAUUUAAUUAUCAAGUUAGCUCCUUUUGUGAUUUGAAAGGAAUUGAAACUGACCUUAGAAAAGCCAACGGCCUUGUGAGAAUUUGGCGUGGUUCACUCCAAUUAAUAUUGUAGGACUUUGUCAGAAUUUGGUGGCUAAACUCCAACAUUGUAGAUACCUCUAAAAAAGCAGAAAAAUUUAUAUAAAACGGAGAUAGCAUUGUUUUGCUAUUCUCAACUAAUUACAAACUGCCACAUGAAAAAGUUAUUAUGAAUGACAUCAUGAUUGGCCGAAAAUAGCAAAAUAGUGUUAUCCCCGUUUUACAUAAAUGUUUCUCCUAAAAGAGACUUAAUAGAAGCAAUCCUAAGAUACCAUGUUAGUCAAUGAGAACAUCUAAGAAGAAAAUAAACCAAAAUUGCUGAUUCUGAUUAGAAAAGAACAAAACUUAAGGGCACGUUUGUUUAGGAAGAUUUGGAUUUGAGAGUCCAAGUCCAAAUCUUUAUGUUUAGGACAAGUUUCAUGGAGUUGAUUUGAAUUUAGAUAAAGUCUAGUGUGAAUUUGAGAAUCUGUAAUACCAAAUAAUACAUUAAUGAAACGACAUUUUAAAAAAAAUAUCACGAUUACGGGCAUUGGACCUCAAGGACAUGUUUAGUAGGCCUCAUUGGAUUGGACUAGUGUUUUGUGCUUGUGGUGGGUGGUAUUUCUUCAUUGAGUUUGUAUUUCUUCAUUUUUUGCUUCAAAAGUAUCUAGUUAUUCAGGCUCAAUGACAUCCAAGUCAUUCUGCUUUAGGUUUUGGGCAACUACCUCCAAACGGAAGGAUCCAAACCGAAAAGAUGUUUACUUCCCUUGAUCAGUUAAUUAAGGUAAGCAACUCAAGGUUUGUCAGGGAAGAAGAUUUAUUAUAUGGAAGAUCUUGCAUGUCUGUCCGAUGGGGUUGAUGUGUUUGGUAUAACACAUUCAGUUUUUGGUCUAGUCAUUUGUCAAUUCUUGGCAUAGGGAAGGCAGCAGUGGAGCUCCCAAGACCCUCCUCUGAUACCAUACACCAAGUAAGUAAGAAGCUCUGAAUUUCUUUAUCAUGACUUGUUCCAUCUAUAUAAUAUUUUGUCUUUAAAAUUCAAAUUUACCAAAACAAAGCCACAUGACUCAAUUGGAUCAAAGUGUCAUAGGAAGGAUGGGACCCAUUAAUUAAAGCGCUGAACAAGAGGGCUGUUUAUUUGAGCAGCAGCAGCAGCAGAAUCCCUCAAAAACUUUGUCUUGAUUUUCUUGAGUGUGGCUACAGCUUCUUCCAUAUUUAUCCUCUCUUCAGGCGAUUCUGCACAGCAAGCAAGGGCUAAUCUCAUAAUGGAUGAUAAGCAAUCCCUUUUCCUCACAUGAUCAUCAUCUUCCUGCUGUGUGCAAAGCAAACUGGCAUCCACAACUUCAUCUAUCAUUGCAUCUGGCAAAACCAGUGAGUUUGCAAUCCAUUGCUUUAAAUUCAUUUCACCAACAAACAUCUCAUAUGUUGGCUUCCUUCUUGUGAAUGUUUCCAUCACUAGAAUUCCAAAACUGUAUACAUCCCCUCUUAUUGAAACCAUUCCUUCCAAUCCAUACUCUGCAUUAUGAAUUAUGCAUAUAUGUGUGAAAUAUAUUCAUGUGUAUAAAUAAGGACAGCACGUAUAGAAUUGAAAGAUAUUAAAUUAGCAAGUACAUCACCUGGAGCCAUAUACCCAACGGUGGCUAGAGUCAUGGUUUGGGUAAUAGAAUCUCCUCCACCCAAGAGUUUUGCAAUUCCAAAAUCAGCAACAUGUGCAACCAUAUCAUCAUCUAGUAGUAUAUUGUUGGGCUUUAAAUCACAGUGGACAAUAGGUACUGAAUAACCAUGAUGAAGGUAUUCCACUGCCACCGCAACGUCUAUCAUUAUGUUCAUCCUCUGUAAGAUAUUCAAAGAAUAGUCUUGAGAGUACAACCACUUCUCGAGGCUCCCGUUUGGCAUGUAAUUCAAUACCAAGGCUUUGAAAUCAAGUUCACUGCAACAGCUGAUGAUUUUGAUAAGGUUUCUAUGACGAAUAUUGCUUAGCAUUUCACAUUCCCUAUCAAAACUCCUGAAAGCCCCUUCUAGCUGUAAACUGAAAACCUUUACUGCAACGUCUAUUCCAUCUGAAAGCGUCCCUUUAUAUACUGAGCCAAAACCCCCACUUCCGAGUAAGUUGUUUUCGUUAAAUCCAUUUGUGGCCCUUAGAAGUUCUUGGUGUGAAAUUCUUCUCCAAAGAAGUUGAGGCAACGAGGUAGCCUCUCCUGCAACUUCCACAUUUCUUUUCCUGCGUAGUACAAACAUAGAUAUGGAGGCCACUAGGAGAAUUACUGAUAUAAUCCCUGGGAUGAUAUAUUUAGCUUUCUUCCAAUUUGGUUCAAGUGUAGUAUUUUUGCAUGGUGGAAAAUGAAGUCGGGGUGCACCACAAAGUGCGUUGUUUGAGACAAAUGAUUGAGCAUUGAAGUUUUGGAAUGGUCCACCUGUUGGAAUUUCUCCUUGGAGCCUGUUGAAAGACAAAUCCAGAUGCUUGAGAAGUGACAGAGCUUCUAAAGACUUGGGAAUCACUCCAGAUAGAUUGUUUCUGGAUAAAUUCAAGAGUUGCAGGCUUAGCAAGUAGUGAAAAGAACUUGGAAUAGGGCCUUCCAAAUUAUUAUUUGCCAAGGAUAGAUUAACGAGAUCCCGAAGAGUGCCAAUGGUGCUUGGUAUAACACCAGAUAAAUGGUUAUUUGAUAAAUCUACCUCUAGGACAACUUUCAAGUUUCCAAUAUCUUGUGAGAGAGGUCCAAUUAGAGAAUUGGAUGAUAAGUUUACAUGCAAGAUAUAGGUCAGUCUCCAGAGAGUAGAUGGUAUUGUGGAACUCAACGAAUUGGACUCCAGUAAUAGACUUCUUAGAGAUGGGGCUAGAUUACCCAAGCAGGAAGGUAUAGAACCAGAGAGCUGAUUACUACCCAAAUAUAAGUAAGCUAGGUUAUCUAGUUGACAAAGUUGAUAUGGGAUGUAGCCUUGCAACUUGUUACCACCCAAAUUCAAUCCUUGGAGAUCCCCAAGUCUUCCCACUGAAGUUGGAAUUGAUCCACUGAAUUGAUUGUCUCCCAGUUCUAAGGCUACCAAGCUGCUCAAGUUGCCAAUACCAAUGGGAAUGUUACCCCUCAUGAUGCAAUUGUGUAAUGAAAUAUAUUGAAGUGAUGAUGUCAAAGAGAAAUUCCUAAAGGAAUCGUCAAGUCUGACAUUUAACGGAUUAUUUCCCAAGUCUAGUGCUUUCAAAUUUUGAAGAUUAGCCAAACAAGAGAGAGUGGAAGUGUCAAUUGUCAAAUCAUUCAUGUAUAAGCCAAGCCACUGAAGAUUUAUUAAGGCACAGAGCGUCCUCGGGAUAAACCCCGUAAAUGAGUUGUAGCUCAUGGAUAUCCUGGUGAGCUUAGAAGCAUUGGAGAGGUUGGGGAUUACUCCGCUGACGUCUGUUGCUCCUAUAUAAAGGAGUUGAAGGUUUGGAACCCCAAGGCCUAUGUUUGCUGGGAGGCUACCCGAUAGCUUAUUCAGCGUAAGCGAGAGUGCUCUUAGCUUGGAGAUGUUGAAGAUUG